AAAUAAGAAGCAAAUUAUUGCAUUUAGUUUCGACCUAAAAGUUUGGUUAAUACCCUUAUUUA
rnacentral:tRNA from 1 species